GACGAACGCUGGCGGCGUGCCUAACACAUGCAAGUCGAACGGAUCAAUCGGAUAGCUUGCUAGAAGAUUGAUUAGUGGCGGACGGGUGAGUAACACGUGGAUAAUCUGCCUGUAACUCUGGGAUAACACAGUGAAAACGGUGCUAAUACCGGAUACCUUCAACUUAUCGCAUGAUGAGAUGAAGAAAGCUUUAGUGGUUACAGAUGAAUCCGCGGCUGAUUAGCUAGUUGGUAAGGUAAUGGCUUACCAAGGCGAUGAUCAGUAGCCGGCCUGAGAGGGUGAACGGCCACACUGGGACUGAGACACGGCCCAGACUCCUACGGGUGGCUG
rnacentral:rRNA from 1 species